rnacentral:rRNA from 1 species
AACGAACGCUGGCGGCAUGCCUAACACAUGCAAGUCGAACGAGACCUUCGGGUCUAGUGGCGCACGGGUGCGUAACGCGUGGGAACCUGCCCUUAGGUUCGGAAUAACUCCCCGAAAGGGGUGCUAAUACCGGAUAAUGUCUUCGGACCAAAGAUUUAUCGCCUUUGGUUGGGCCCGCGUUGGAUUAGCUAGUUGGUAGGGUAAAAGCCUACCAAGGCGACGAUCCAUAGCUGGUCUGAGAGGAUGAUCAGCCACACUGGGACUGAGACACGGCCCAGACUCCUACGGGAGGCAGCAGUGGGGAAUAUUGGACAAUGGGCGAAAGCCUGAUCCAGCAAUGCCGCGUGAGUGAUGAAGGCCUUAGGGUUGUAAAGCUCUUUUACCCGUGAUGAUAAUGACAGUACCGGGAGAAUAAGCUCCGGCUAACUCCGUG